CUCACUUUUAACUACACCCCCACUAAAGUUUCCUGCUGAAAAAGCCUUGCAGCCAAGCAUCAUGACUUACUUUUUGACAAGUCCUCACAAAGAGAAAUGAAUCUUUCUCUCUCACAUUUCUCACACUGGAGCUUUAACCUCUGGGCUGAUGCAAUGCGAUGCUGAGGAUCUUACUUGAGGACAUUGCAGCAGGAUGAUGUGUUGCUAUCAUAGACGCCAGAGAAGCCUCAUUUGGAAUGAACUUAGUCAUUAAACCUCUGUGGAGUCAGUACUUGACCUCCAAAAUACUACAGAGAACAGUGCUGCACGCUGAGCUGGCUGAUGAUGAUCUUUUGAUGAGCAUCCUGGAGGAAGCUGGGAAACCAAUCAGGGGUAUCUUCCCACGAUCUGGCUGGGAUAGAGCCAGAAAUAGGGAGAUCCUCGGCAGCCAGAGGGGAGGCAAGAGGAGGACAAGUGUCGCUAAUCGUUGUCUCCCUUUAACCCUAAUACCACACACAGGCAGAUAGCAACAUUCCCAUCAGUUACUAGGACAUGAAAUCAACUUAGUCAGUUAACACUUCCUGGAUAUUUAUCCUAAACCCAACCCUACUCUAACCUUAAACCACAUAUCCACUCAUAACUUCAGUUAUUUACAUAAUCAGGACUUUCUGUCCCCAAAAAGUGGAGUGUUCUCACAAUUUGACUGUAUAAACAGAUCUAGGUCCCCAUGCCUAAUAUAACCCCACACUUUGCACACUUGUAAAUCCCCAUGAUACUGACAGUAAGCCACAUUCAUCUCUGAGCCAAGUUCCAACUGGCUCCAACUCAUCACCCCAUUCACAUUAUGACUGAUAAGACUUCAACUGUGUGACACUGGUAAGAAAGAGUAAUGAUCUAUCAAAAAAAAAAAAAGGUCAGCCCAAGAGGAAAUUAGUCUUUAUCCAGUAUUUUCAUUCCUUAGCCACAACAUCAGUGAUGUAACAGUGAUGGUACAAAUGACAAUUAAGCACACUUUGGGUUAAGACCCAUUAGGUGAUCGUUGUGUGCAAGUUUGAUGAGAUUUCUUUCUUUAUUGCCCACCCCCCAAAAAUUACAUUUAAAAAAAAAGAUCUUCUUAUUGUGUUUACAUACACUGCCUAAU
rnacentral:lncRNA from 1 species